CCUACGGGAGGCAGCAGUCGAGAAUCAUUCACAAUGGGGGAAACCCUGAUGGUGCGACGCCGCGUGGGGGAAUGAAGGCCUUCGGAUUGUAAACCCCUGUUAUGUGGGAGCAAAUUAAAAAGAUAGUACCACAAGAGGAAGAGACGGCUAACUCUGUGCCAGCAGCCGCGGUAAUACAGAGGUCUCAAGCGUUGUUCGGAAUCACUGGGCGUAAAGCGUGCGUAGGCUGUUUCGUAAGUCGUGUGUGAAAGGCGCGGGCUCAACCCGCGGACGGCACAUGAUACUGCGAGACGAGAGUACUGGAGAGGGAAGCGGAAUUCUCGGUGUAGCGGUGAAAUGCGUAGAUAUCGGGAGGAACACUCGUGGCGAAGGCGGGUUCCUGGACAUUAACUGACGCUGAGGCACGAAGGCCAGGGGAGCGAAAGGGAUUAGAUACCCCUGUAGUC
rnacentral:rRNA from 1 species